GAUUGAAGCUGGCGUUACUCCAAACGCCGUUACAUGGUCAUCGUUGAUCAGUGCAUGUGCCAAAGCAGGUCUGGUAGAUCAAGCAUUUGUAUUAUUUGAAGAGAUGGUUCUGGCCAAUUGCAUGCCAAAUUCACAGACCUAAAAUCCCAACCGAGAUAAGAAUCAAUAUGGAGAAUCCCUUCAAUCCACGUUCCAAAUUAGAUAAAAAGACAUCCCCCACCAGAAGACCAACAGUUUUGCAGAGGCUGAAGGUGACAAAUAGAUCCUUGUAUCAUUGGUUACAGAGAAACUCAAAUGAACAGAGAAGGCGGCAAGUAUGGCAUACCCACAAUUGAUGUUUUGUACAUAAUUAAUUGAAACGAUGAUUAUACCAUAUAGUAUAUUGCAAAAAAUGUGAUUGUAACACACCUCUCUAAUCCAAGUUAUUGAAUAUAAAUAAAAAUAUCACUUCCACUUUGUUCUCAGCUUACGUGUUCUUUGUGAUUUUCCAUAUCAUCCUACUUGACCUUUUGUCAUAGACAAACCAUUGGGUUUUGUGAGAAUAAAAAAAAAG